UACGUAGGGUGCGAGCGUUAAUCGGAAUUACUGGGCGUAAAGCGUGCGCAGGCGGUUUUGUAAGCCAGAUGUGAAAUCCCCGGGCUCAACCUGGGAAUGGCAUUUGGGACUGCAAGGCUCGAGUUUGGCAGAGGAGACUGGAAUUCCUGGUGUAGCAGUGAAAUGCGUAGAUAUCAGGAGGAAUACCGAUGGCGAAGGCAGGUCUCUGGGCUGACACUGACGCUCAUGCACGAAAGCGUGGGGAGCAAACAGG
rnacentral:rRNA from 1 species